rnacentral:misc_RNA from 2 species
AAGUCGUAACAAGGUCUCCGUAGGUGAACCUGCGGAGGGAUCAUUACUGAGUGAGGGCCUUCUGGUCCGACCUCCAACCCCAUGUUAUCCGACACUGUUGCCUCCGGGGCGACCCGGCCUUCGGGCGUCGGGGCCCCGGGUGGACCAUUCAAACACUGCAUCUUUGCGUCUGAGUACACGAUUGAAUCAAUCAAAACUUUCAACAACGGAUCUCUUGGUUCUG